rnacentral:rRNA from 1 species
GACGAACGCUGGCGGCGUGCCUAACACAUGCAAGUCGAACGGAGAAUUAGCAAUAAUUCUUAGUGGCGAACGGGUGAGUAACGCGUAGACAACCUGCCCUUUAGAUGGGGACAACAGAUCGAAAGGUCUGCUAAUACCGAAUAUUGUUUGAGAAACGCAUGUUACACAAGCUAAAGAUGGCCUUUAUUUAUAAGCUAUCGCUAAAGAAUGGAUCUGCGUCUGAUUAGCUAGUUGGUGAGAUAAAAGCUCACCAAGGCAACGAUCAGUAGCCGGUCUGAGAGGAUGAACGGCCACGCUGGGACUGAGACACGGCCCAGACUCCUACGGGAGGCAGCAGUGGGGAACCUUCCGCAAUGGACGAAAGUCUGACGGAGCAACGCCGCGUGAGUGAUGAAGGUUUCCGGAUCGUAAAACUCUGUUGUUAAGGACGAAUGUAUAGAUUGUGAAUAAUGGUUUAUAAUGACGGUACUUAACGAGGAAGCCACGGCUAACUACGUGCCAGCAGCCGCGGUAA